CGUUCUGUAGGAGUAAUCAAUGAACUCUGUUUCCUGCAAACAGUUUCACCUUUGAGCUAUUAGUGCAAUAAUGAGGAGGGCGCAGUAUAUACUUACAUAAAGAACUUAGAAUCUAUUAGCACCUGUGCUGAGCACUAGAGCUGCUAAUACUUUGCAUGCAAAUUGUAGUCAUCAUCUGAGAAGAAGCAGAGUUCAUAGGUUCAAUAUUCUCUCACUUUCAAUCUCCUAUGUCAGCUAUGUCUUAACCAGCUGGGGGCAGAAUUACAUUCUGGAAAUUAGUGAGGAAAAAAAGAAGAGGACUGCAAACUUUCUUUCACACAGUACAUGCUGGCUCACUUCCUGCCCUUGGAAAAGAUUGCUUCAAUACCUGUGAACAUGUGCAUUACAAGAGACAUACUUAGACUUGCUCCUUCCUGUGUUGAAAACUGAGCUCUGAAUAUUUCUCUGGGAACCUCAAGCAUGGAGAAUUAGCACAUUGGACAGAGAAUGCCUUCCUAUCCCUGAAAGAAAAAGAAGUUGACUGAGGCAGCACCACUGUUACAGGCUGAGGACCAGCUCCACAUGACUCAGAAGUGAAAGAGAGAAAUGAAACCAAAGCCUCCUACAGAAAAUUUCAUCCUACAGCUCUCCUCCCUUGCCCGCACCAAACUGUAUUGUCUUAAUCUGGGAACGUGAUUUAUUUGUGAAAUAUCUAGUGGGUGGCAGAGGUGGGGAGCAAAGCUGCACAAAGCUCCCCAGAGCUGCUGACCGAGGUAAAUAGUGUGUCAUAACACAUUUAUCAAAUAAUAAUGGAAACCGUAUAGAACACACAGGAGAGGGAGGGGGAAACACCAUUCCCCACUGGGAAGUUACUGAAUAUUUCAGCCAGUUUAUAAAAGUAUGUGUACAUGUGUUUGGAAGGGGGGAGGUUUUUCUAGCUUCACCUCUGCAAAUAAAUCAUUGGCGUGGGAUGUCUGAGCAGACAAGUGAAAUGGAUGAGCACAUUAUGGAUCAAGGAGGUGGGAUUCCUGCCUUGGUUAGUUUGAGACAGACCACCCAAGCACUGUGGGUCUUAGAUGAGACUGAAGUAAUGCUUGUAGAGUUCUGAAAGGCCGAGGCUGUAGCCUCUGGCAUGGUAUGAAGUUGGGGAAUAAAAUAAAAUGGUGGUAUUUGCUGUAUAGCAGGCAUGACUUACCUGAACUGAUGUUGUUCCUAAUAUUUUUUUUUCUCCUGGGCUGGAUUAGCCCUGUAGAUAGAAUGAAAAAGAGAAAAUAUGACAAAGGUGUAAUAAUUAUGGCUGUCUUGAAAAUAAAUUAAAGUUUAGGUAAAAUAAAAAAAAAAAAAAUUAAUGGUGAUGUAUUUGUAUGUUAUUUUUGCCACGAGUAUUGUACUAGUACUAUUUGUACUGUUUGCCACUAGUCACUUUCAGAAUACAGAAGCUAUAGUUGGAUACUCCCAUUAAAAUUAAGAAGCUUGCAUCAUAACUGGUCUAUUGAAGUCAACAAGAAUUACUUAUGGAAAAAGACACCCACUCCAUGUGAAUAGGGCUUACAGAACAUGAAUGAGUAUUACCAAAAAACACCCAAGUUAAAAGGAGCCAGCAAAGUCAGUAUCCUUAUAAAUAUUUGUAUAGUUAACACUCUGGAAUUUUUGCAAGGAGGACAUAGUUAUGAGGUUCAGAAUGAUCAUCUUUAACAGGGAAACCUCUUGCAGUGCAAUGGAUCACCUUUUUAUAUUUAUACAUGGCAAUCAUGAUUAAAGGCUGAUCAGUCUACAUAUAGUAAUGAAUUAGAUUAAUUGUACAUUGUAAGGAAGCAAAAUAGGAAACAUAGAAAAUUUUCCAUAGAAAAUUAUCCUCUUUUUAUUUUUCUAAGAAGAAAAAGUGGUCUUGAUGUUUUUCUACUAUAAUGUAAAAUUUUAUCAUGCUUAAAAUUUUGAGGGACUAUUGGAAGUUUGUACCAGCAUUAAUCUUAUACCAGAAAAUCUUAAAUAGUUUUAAAAUUAUUUAAAAACUGUUGCUAAACAAAAUUCAAACAUGUUUUCUUAAAAAAAUGCUGUUUUCUACCCAUGGAGUACCUUUCCUCCUGGUUUGAUCACAUCUGAUAGCAAUCCCCAUUAGCAUUUGCAGCUACAUGCAGCCUCCCACCCUGCCAGGUCAGACACUGGCUUUGCUUGGUGACUGGGCCAGAGGCUGUAAGGUGGUGAAGUCUUGGGACACCUUUAACACCUGCCAGAGGAUGCCCUCGCCACAGAGGGGAGGUGCUGGUGGUUUGUGGCCACUCUGCCUCCCAUAACCAUUGCGCCAGUGGGUGUCAGCUGUGCUCCUGGCAGUGGUGUGACGUGGGAGGCUGAGAUGCUUAACAGCUAAGUUCUGUAUCACAUUUCUCAGGAAUGGAGAUGUUAACUCCCCGUGUUCAGGCUGGAUUUCAGCUUCAGCAUUCAUAGUGUUGUCUACCUAAAUCUGCCCUGAAGUUUUGAUUUGAUACAGUACCAUUCAUUUGGUGCUUUUAAUUGUGCAAUGCAACUUUUUCUCCCCACACUCUUGAACAUCUGCUCUGCUUCAAAAGUAGCUGAGUUUUGCCUGCAAGAGAAGAAUUUUUUACCCCCCUCAAGUUUUAAGGGGAUCUCCCUGUUCCUGGGCAGGGGAUGAACAGUUGGUGUUUGUGCUGGAGAACAAGGCUGCAAGAGACUGGAAAGAAUCCUACUCUGCCCAAGGGCUUUAGGCACCCAAGAAACUGAUCUACAGCCAGUGCUACAAACCAUGGGCUAUGGUUGUAGCUGUGAUCUCUGCAAGAGAUUUACAGCCCCUGGAUUUGCCCUGCUGUGCUCCCAGCCUGACUAAAGAAAUUUGCGAUGUCCCCAGCAUGUCCUUGCAGAACAUGUUGCACAUCAGAUUGGGGGAUGUCUGGAGGGUGCUCCACAGCCCCAUCAGUUCAUGUAGUCCAUUUGCAGCCUGGCCACUGGUGGGACAGUUCUUUGCCUCAAUAAAAAUGUGGACUUGUCUCAAUUCCAUUCUUGGCACUAAACGUGAUGUUAUCUAGGUGCCCAGCUGCAGUAGUGACUACUUCUCUAGAUACUAUUAAAAAAGUUACAAAAAAAAAAAGCUUGAUAAUGCUGAAGUAAAAGAAAAAAUCCUUUUAAAAAAGUUUAUUCAGGGGCAUAUUACAACUGAAACUAUGUGGAUAUUACCCUAUUUCUCUACUGCUGAUGUCUGUGCACUAAAGCUAAUUGCACCCAUUCAGAAGUUUAGCAGUUAAGCAACUGCACAGUGAGAGAGAGGACAGAAAAGAGAGCUGCCCUGAGUGGCAGAGAGGCAGCAAGGCACAAAGGGAAGAUCUGUGAUCCUGUGAAUCCUCUUGCCUUCUCUGUUCCCUCAUCUAGAGGUUUCUCCAUCAAGAGGUCCUUUGUAAAGGAGCCUUCUUGCUGUAUCUUCUGUGCACCUCCUUAGCACUUUCUCAGCUUGCCACAUUGUAAAGCAACCUCAGAGUGUGAAACCCACGGUUGAUAACUCUGCAGCUAAAUUAAUAUGUAAGAAAUGCAGUAUUAAAAAGGGCCAGAAAAGACUGAUUUGUUGUUGAAAGCGUUGUCUAAUGCAUAUUGUUGAAAGGAUUCUUGUACGCAAAGAAGACAGGUUUCCUUGACAUAAAGAAUAGGCCUUGAUCCCAUAAUUAUUUUGGCAGGUGCUUAAUUCCCAAAGUGUGAAUUAUCCUAUGAAAUUCAAUGCACAUAGUGAAACAAAGGAGUGGGAAGGGAGGAGGAAGGGAUUACAUAUGCUGAGAGAAAGGCAAGAGGGGCUCUCUGAACAAAUGGGGCUGAAAGGAGGAUUGAAGGAGGAGAGGAAAGGUGGUUGGCGGACGGGAACAGGAAAGCAAUUCAGACUUGAAGUUGAAUCAGCAGUUGCUGACAUGAAUGUGACACUAAUGGAAAGAAUUUGGGAAAAGAAGAGAUAUAAGGUAAUAGAUUUGUUCUCUUCAAAACAUUCUGUGUUCAGGUAAUAACACGUAGAGUUUGUUUAUAAUAACAUAAAGUGACAUCUUUUGGUUUCAAAGUGAAUUCAUGGUCAGAAACAAGGAAUGCCACCCUUACCUGUUUUUCUUUCUCUUUCCUUCUUUCUUGAAAUUUAUUUCUGGAAGUCAUUAAAAUUCAGAUCCCAUCACUUGUAACAAAUGAUGUGAAGUGUUAGGUACAGUACUUGGAAUAUAUGUUUGUUAAAAUGAAGGAAGAGACUCUUCCAACACUUUGGGAUUUUAUGAAUGAUUUACAUCUGGUGCUAAAGUUCAUAAAUGAAACGUGGGAGAACCAGAUGCUUCAUUUCUUGACUGCAUCGUGUCUGCACAUACUGAUGGUGAAUUGAAAACAGGAAUGUCUCAUAAAUCAAGAAAAUCUAUUUUUGUACUCUUGAUUUCUAUUCUGAACAUCCAUAUAAUACCCAAACAAAAGUGGUAAAAUUGGUUCCUUGAGAAACUCUUUAUGUUUAGUAACAGUGUGGACAUGUUAAUAAAAAAGUAGGGGGAGAAAAAGAGGAACCCAUUUUCAGAAUAAAAAGUGUUCACUCAGAAUGAGCAACCAUUCUUUGACAUCAACAUUGAAGGCACUUCAUUUAGCAAGAGAAAGACUGAAUGGAACUUCUGGGCAAACUCAGCCAGCCAUACAAAGAGCUGUGGUGUAUAAUAAGGUGACAUUUCACAGCUUUUGGCAUUGGGUGGAAAUUUACUGACAUGAUAAAUGAAGGAAGAAUCUGACCCACCUACUGAAUAGGAAGGUUGGAGCUCACAAGGACACAUUUGGAGAAAAAUGAGUGAAAUUUAGGGGUUUAAUUUUUCCAUUAGUGUUUUGGAAUGGUGCUCUUAGCCUACCCUCUUUUCCUGUUGACAUCUUCUACUGGCCUCAGAGCUGUAAACAAUACAUCUCAUGAUGUUUAGUUAGUUUAGUUACUAAAAAUUUUGUAAAUGGGCUUUUAAAAGACAAUUUAUUAAGUUAUAAUGAAAGAAUAAGCAUAUGUGUGUCUAAAGGGUUUUUAAAAUAGAACUUACGGGUUCCCACUUCCUUGAUUUCAUGGUACGUGUUUAUACACACAUUUUAAAUUAUUACAUUACAAUUCCAAAACUACCUGUGAAAAAUGGCAGGGUAACAAUAAUGAGUUUGGAUGAACAAGUUGUACCAAAGGGCUACCAAGUGCCAGCUGAUGCGUGGUAGUGCCCACCUGUGUCCUCUUAGGCUCCAACAAAUGCAUGGUAAUUGGAGUGGGCUCAGCCUACUGUGCAGGUGUGUGAGGCUGACUUGACUCACCUUGCAAUGCUGUGGGGGGAACAGUGUGCAUCCAGGCAAUUCUUGCAGCUCAACAGAAACUUGUUACCUUGUGGGAUCUUGUUUGUGUGUCUACGCCCUGGAUGUGCAUACCUUGCUAUUUCUGUUAACAAUUGAAAACAAAUAUUUAUUUAAAUUUAUUUGCACAUCCUACACACAGAUUGAGUGUAGGUGUGCUGACAGAAGGGAGAUUUUAGGAAGGAUUUCAUAAAGGUGAAGGAAAUGGCUUAGCAGCCAGGUUUCAAGGAGGCACCCCAAAUGCAAGGAGCAGCCCCAGACCGUGGAGGGCCUCGUGAUGGUAUCAAGGUGUGCCCUGCUGGCAGAGGAGGCAGAGCUUGUGAGCUGGGAGAGCUGACCUUGCUUUCAAAGACAGCAGCUGUUUUGAUCCAAAAUUGAUAAAACCACCCUAGAAACCUUAAAAAAGGACUAAAGAGUUCCAGAAUAAAAGAUAAUGUGGGUGGAGAUCAGGACACAUAUGGACUCCAGAGCUGAUCAGACCUCAUAGACUCAGAAGCCAAAAGUUCUUGCCUUCCCUGGCAGGAGAAUUCUGUCACUAGACUAUCCUGUCUAUGGAAGCUGGGAUAUCUGGCAAGGCUGGGAUCCACAUUUGCUGAUCAAUUCCCUACUACAGGCAAAGGGGCACUUUGCAAAAGUGUGCUUCCUCUGCAACCAUGCUGAACAAGAGAUCAAGAAGAAAUAGAGCCCCCAGCCUGUGACCUUUUCAGGAGAAAAGUGAUGGAAAUGAAGACAGAGAAACAAAGGAGAUACUGAAGAAGAACUCAUGUUUGGAGAGUUAACGCACAGAAAAGACAAAAUGAUAUGCAU